UCGAACUUCCCGUUGGAGCUCUGCCCGAUCUCCGCCACAUGCCGGUCUGGAUUCUGUGGGGAAUACGAACGCUAGUGGUUUAUUUCAUAUUUAGUUUUUUUGUCACCCUAUUUUUAAUCAUAUUUUCGCUUUCUUAAUUUUAAUUACAAAAAUACCAUCAAUCAUAAAAUUCCUUUUUAGAUUGACAAUGCAAGUGAUAAUCUUUAUAAAUGGAUCGAUAACACUGUUAUCAAAAAUCGAUAACUCUAUUCAUUAUAAGAUAUAUGAAAACA
rnacentral:lncRNA from 1 species